AGGAUUGGCUACUAUUUGAUUUCGAUCCUCCAUAUUGGUCAGAUGAGGACUCAGAGGACAGGGAGCAGAACCAGCAGUACCCACAUGUUUCCAGUGCAGCAGGGAAUUCAGCUGAUGUACUGGCAAGCAAUGAUGAAGAGGAACCAAGAGAUGUUGAAGGUUCUGCUCUCUCUAGGGAUUGGCUACCAUUUGAUUUCGAUCUUCCAUAUUGGUCAGAUGAGGACUCAGAGGUGAGGAUCCACAUGUUCUUGUCCUUUAUGGUUUGUGGGAGGGAAAGGGACAAAAGAGGAGC